rnacentral:rRNA from 1 species
AUACGAAGGGUGCAAGCGUUAAUCGGAAUUACUGGGCGUAAAGCGCGCGUAGGUGGUUCAGCAAGUUGGAUGUGAAAGCCCCGGGCUCAACCUGGGAACUGCAUCCAAAACUACUGAGCUAGAGUACGGUAGAGGGUGGUGGAAUUUCCUGUGUAGCGGUGAAAUGCGUAGAUAUAGGAAGGAACACCAGUGGCGAAGGCGCCCUCCUGGAUUGAUCCUGACACUGAGGUGCGAAAGCGUGGGAGGAAACAAGAAUUAGAUACCCGGGUAGUCCACGCCGUAAACGAUGUCAACUAGUUGUUGGGUGCCUUGAGAACUUAGUAACGAAGCUAACGCGAUAAGUUGACCGCCUGGGGAGUACGGCCGCAAGGUUAAAACUCAAAUGAAUUGACGGGG